CUGGGGAACAGAGGGGUACCCGCUCACACACAGUCUAGCACACAGUCUAGCACACAGACCACAGAGAGGAACGGGACCGAAGAUCAGCUCAGCCAUUAAGAUGCCUUCCUGUAUUUGGCUACCAAUUCUGCUGAUCUGUGAAGUGCACGUGCGUACUGCUCUGGGCCAAACAGCAACAGCAUCAACAGCUGUAACCACAACUGCAAUGCCCUUGACAAUCACAACUGCACCCGCUGUUACAGCCAACCCUGCAACUUCCACGACAACAACACCUCCAUCCACUGCUACACCCAAUCCUGCAGCUUCCACGACAACAACACCUCCAUCCACUGCUACACCCAAUCCUGCAGCUUCCACGACAACAACACCUCCAUCCACUGCUACACCCAAUCCUGCAGCUUCCAUGACAACAACUACGUCUACGUUACCCCUCAGUAAUCCGGCAGCGAAUACUCAGUCUGCUACCCCUGCUAAUUCCCCCUGGAGCAACACUACAAUGAGUAACAGCACCGCAUGGACCCAGAACACCACGUCUGCAGCCGGACUCAUCAACGCCUCACUUAACACUGCAACAGGUGUGUCGGUGUGCACGGUGCUGUUCUGGCUGCAUUGGCCCUGCUGAUGAAACUGAGCAUCAGGAAGCAUGAAGAGAAGAGCCAAUCAGAGGACGGGAGCUGGACUAUGAUUGGUUGUUGAGAGAGAUACCAUUCUUGCUGUCCUAUUCAGUGAACACAACACACAAAUUCAACAUGCCUUUUCUCCAGCCUCUUAAGCCAGCCCUUAAUAACAAUGGUAUGAUAAGUAAUAUGAUAACACAUAUACUAAUGAUAACGGUGUGAUUUGAUGCUGUUAAUAAAGUUUAUUCCCUCCCGUGCCAUUUGAAUCUAA